GUGUGGGAAUGGGAAGUGGAAUUAAAUGACUGGCCACCGGGAGAUCCCAUCUGUUACGGCGGACGGAGCGAGGGUGCUCGAUGAAAUAAUUCCCCAAAUCUGUGUUGGGUCUCACCGAUGUAGAGAAGGGAGCACCGGAUGCAAUAAAUGACACAAAAGAGUUACAGCUUCCAUGUGGCUUCAGUUCCACAACAUUUGGGGACUCGUCCGGGAUGCGUUUGGGACCCACUACAUGGCCAGCGACCUCAGCCGUCUAAGGGGAACAAGCCGUGAUUUACCCCCAUUGGGAUAACGGGCAUUGUCAAAGGGGAGGUUCUGCGCGUUCCCCAGCUGAAAUCAGUGCGACUCUUCUAAACAGGCUACUGUUCCACUGGAUGUCGAUUGACAGAAACCGUGAACACAUUCACACUGGGCAACUUCAACCUUCGGCAGAUCAGCAUCACGGCUUGGUAAGGCAACUGCUCUGCCCGGGACGGCAAAAAAACUGCAGCGAGUUGUGGACGCCGCCCAGCGUGUCACGGAAACGAGUCUCCCCUCCUUGGACUAUACCUCUCGCUGCCUUGGUGAAGCAGCCGACACAAAGACUCCACCCGCCCGGGUCCUUCUCUCUUCUCCCCUCUCCCAUCAGGCAGAAGAUACAGGAGCCUGAGGGCACAUACCACCAAGCACAAGGACAGCUUUUAUGCCACGGCGAUAAGACUAUUGAACGUAUAUUUUGUACAAUGAGAUGGACUCUUGAUCUUACAUUCUAUCUUGUUAUGACCUUGCGCCUUAUUGUCUACCUGCAAUGAACUUCCUGAAGCUGUGACACUUUACUCUGUAUUCUGAUAUUGUUUUUACCCUAUACUACCUCAGUGUACUGUGUAAUGAAUUGAUCUGUACGAACGGUAUGCAAGGCAGGUUUUGCACUGUACCUCGGUACACGUGACAAUAGUAAACCAAUACCGGCAGUUGUGCAUGGAAUGGAAAAUUACACACAACUUUUGUAAUUGACUUUUCAUGCAUUAUUCAAUGCACCUGGCGAUACAAGUAUCGCAGAAAGACAUUGAUCCUGUAAUUUGGAACAUAUAACGGCGUAUUUCACUUCGUUAACAAGUGUAAAGGGAUUUUCCAAAUGUGCCCUAUUUUGACUUCUGAAGAAAUCACUGGCGUUUUCACUAAUGCAAGGAUUCCAUCAAAUAAACAGGACCAUGCGCCGUAUCUCAGCGAUUCCGUAUUUUGGCACGUUUGUUUGUUCAGCUCUCAAUGAUACACUGA